GAAUAUUGGACAAUGGGCGCAAGCCUGAUCCAGCCAUGCCGCGUGAGUGAUGAAGGCCUUAGGGUUGUAAAGCUCUUUCAGUGGGGAAGAUAAUGACGGUACCCACAGAAGAAGCCCCGGCUAACUUCGUGCCAGCAGCCGCGGUAAUACGAAGGGGGCUAGCGUUGUUCGGAUUUACUGGGCGUAAAGCGCACGUAGGCGGUUUGUUAAGUCAGAGGUGAAAUCCCGGAGCUCAACUCCGGAACUGCCUUUGAUACUGGCAAGCUAGAGUCCGGAAGAGGUGAGUGGAACUCCUAGUGUAGAGGUGGAAUUCGUAGAUAUUAGGAAGAACACCAGUGGCGAAGGCGGCUCACUGGUCCGGUACUGACGCUGAGGUGCGAAAGCGUGGGGAGCAAACAG
rnacentral:rRNA from 1 species